AUUAAAGAACAUAGACCAAAUAAUUAGGAACGAUAAAUAUUAAAAAGUAACUGAUUGUUUACCAUAUUUUCCCCCACAUUCACGUUAUUUCGACCAUUCAAUGUAACGGUUCUAAUAUGAGAUUGCAUUUACUAAUUAUGAAAUGGGCUUAGAGCGUCCCCUCACACCUGUGGGUCACAGUAUAAUCUUUGGUGUUUUUGAGAUGGGAUCUUAUGAAUUUGCAGAGAUACUGGUAUUGGAAUGACCAAAGAAGUGCUCAUUGACUGUCUUGGAACUAUUGCUCAGAAUGGUACUUCAAAGUUCUUGCUGCUUUGAAGCUUACAUUUCCAGCCUUAAAAUUUGCUAGGAAAAUAGGGAUCUUGGAGCAGACAAUGGUCUGAUUGGUCAAUUUGGUGUGGGGUUCUAUUCUGCCUUUCUUGUUGCUGAGAAGGUAACUUUUAUAAUUAAACUUAAGUCUUGUUGCAAUUUUGAAUUCCUUUUGAAGAUUUUAAUGUGAAUGCUUUUCCUGGGUGGCCACUGAUUAUGCUUUUCCUGGGUGGCCACGAAAUUGAGAGAGUAAUCCUCGGAGUGUCAGACACUUAGACUAUCAUCCACCGGCAAGCCAGUCGCUCACCAACAUCAGGCCGCCUAAACCGCUACCGGUAAUUUUUUUUUUUCUAAAUCCGGUACUCUUACAGAAUUAGUCGGAGAUAGCCUGCUUUGAAGGACCCACGGGGCUGUAACUAAGAUCAAAAGAGAGCAAUCCAAAAAUCCUAACGCAAUCUCUGAACACUGAGAGUGAAAGUCAGUAGGUAAAGAGAGAUCAAGCGAAGCAAGUCUGUAAGGCAGAGAGCCACCACCCACUGUCAGGCAUUUGUUCCUCCACCGUCAGACUACUGUUGUGAGAGAAACAAUCAUAGAAAAUCAAAUUCUACAAGUUUUGUAGGAAAAUAUUGUGGAUAUGGAUGGGUUUCGUAGUGGAGAUAGUAUUGAAGAGCCUCCCAACCCUCAAAAUCUGACAACAAUCCUACAGGUGGUUGCUGAGGAGUUUUGUAUGCAGAGAACUGAUCGUGUGUGAAGGUAGAAGAAGUGAUAGUGAUACCCAAAAUUAGCCAUGAAAAGGAUUAUACGAGUCAAAGAUUCAAUAGUUUUGCAGAGGUUACCCCAAACCAAUGCAAUUCAAUUAGGAGCAUCGUGAGGUAAUUCUUGAUAAGUUUAUAUGGUGUACACAAUGCCUCAAUCCAUGUAAAACCUAAUGAUGUGGAGGUUGUUAAUGUUUGUUAGCUUACAACUGAGUGGCACAAGACUUUCCACUAAUGUGAUUUAGUCGGUUAUCAUUGUUAUGAUAUCUAUACCUCUAAUGUUGUAGUGUAUGAUAUUUACAUACAAGAGUUAUUUGAUAAUUGAUAUUGGAUAUGAGUUG